UACGUAGGGGGCUAGCGUUGUCCGGAAUCAUUGGGCGUAAAGAGCGUGUAGGCGGCCCGGUAAGUCCGCUGUGAAAGUCGGGGGCUCAACCCUCGGAUGCCGGUGGAUACUGUCGGACUAGAGUACAGAAGGGGCAACUGGAAUUCUCGGUGUAGCGGUGAAAUGCGUAGAUAUCGAGAGGAACACCUGCGGCGAAGGCGGGUUGCUGGGCUGAUACUGACGCUGAGGCGCGAAAGCCAGGGGAGCGAACGGG
rnacentral:rRNA from 1 species